rnacentral:rRNA from 1 species
UGGAUAGUAUUAUUAAUGAAAUUUAACGGAUUUGGCGGCAAGAUAGCCACUUAGAGGAACCUGCCCUGUAAACGAUGAGCCACGAUUAACCUUACUUUUACUAGAAUCCAGUUUGUAUACCGCUGUUGCCAGUUAGUUUCUUUAGAAAACUUUCGUUCAUGAUAAAUUCAAUGACUUCAAGUAAAGGUGCAGCUUAUGUAAAAGAUAGAGGUGGGUUACAAUUAAAAGGAUAAUAUGGAUAAAGUAAAGAAAAAACUUUUGAAGGUGGAUUUAAUAGUAAAGUUUAAUAAGACUUGAUUAGAGCUCUAUCUUGUGUACACACCGCCCGUCGCUCGCGGGA